rnacentral:tRNA from 1 species
GCAGGUAUAGCUCAAGUGGUAGAGCACAUGCUUACCAAGCAUGAGAUCCUCCAGUCGGUUCCCAGUACCUCUG